GUGCUUCCUUCGGCAGCACAUAUAUUAAAAUUGGAAUGAUACAGAGAAGAUGUACAAAGGAUGACGUGAAUUUGUGAAGCAUUUAUUUUU
rnacentral:snRNA from 3 species